AUUGAACGCUGGCGGCAGGCCUAACACAUGCAAGUCGAACGGUAACAGGAAGAAGCUUGCUUCUUUGCUGACGAGUGGCGGACGGGUGAGUAAUGUCUGGGAAACUGCCUGAUGGAGGGGGAUAACUACUGGAAACGGUAGCUAAUACCGCAUAACGUCGCAAGACCAAAGAGGGGGACCUUCGGGCCUCUUGCCAUCGGAUGUGCCCAGAUGGGAUUAGCUAGUAGGUGGGGUAACGGCUCACCUAGGCGACGAUCCCUAGCUGGUCUGAGAGGAUGACAAGCCACACUGGAACUGAGACACGGUCCAGACUCCUACGGGAGGCAGCAGUGGGGAAUAUUGCACAAUGGGCGAAAGCCUGAUGCAGCCAUGCCGCGUGUAUGAAGAAGGCCUUCGGGUUGUAAAGUACUUUCAGCGGGGAGGAAGGGAGUAAAGUUAAUACCUUUGCUCAUUGACGUUACCCGCAGAAGAAGCACCGGCUAACUCCGUG
rnacentral:rRNA from 1 species